rnacentral:rRNA from 1 species
GCGGAGCAAAUCUCAAAAACCGGUACCCAGUUCGGAUUGUAGGCUGCAACUCGACUGCACGAAGCUGGAAUCGCUAGUAAUUGCGGAUCAGCACGCCGCGGUGAAUACGUUCCCGGGCCUUGUACACACCGCCCGUCACACCAUGGAAGUCUGCAAUGCCCGAAGCCGGUGGCCUAACCACUUAUGUGGAAGGAGCCGUCUAAGGCAGGGCAGAUGACUGGGGUGAAGUCGUAACAAGGUAUC